UAGUAGUGGCGAGCGAACGCGGACCAGCCGAGCCCUGAGGAUGACCAGAACGAUCUGGAAAGAUCGGCCAUAGCGGGUGACAGCCCCGUAUGGGAAGUCUGAUGGGACGUAUCAAGUAGGGCGGGACACGUGAAAUCCUGUCUGAAGAUCGGGGGACCACCCUCGAAGGCUAAGUACUCCUUACUGACCGAUAGCGAACCAGUACCGUGAGGGAAAGGUGA
rnacentral:rRNA from 1 species